rnacentral:lncRNA from 1 species
ACUAUAAUUAUUUUGAUGUUGAACAUGUCAAGCGAUCUUGUAAUGCUACCGGAAAAACUUUGGCAAACUUGGUUUUGAAGUUCCCAAAGUUACUAAGAUUUUCAAGCUGCGAUUUGUAAAUAGUUUAAUUAGUAAGGUAAUUAGUGACAAACAUCAAUUAAUUUAUUAGAGGCCUGAGCAGACAAAGAAAAGAGAGGUAUUUUGGAAUACCUCAAAUUUUUUUGGCAUCAGUCCGUCGGUAGACGAUGAUUGUUGUAUAUGUGUGUGUGUAUGUAAUGUUCUGGUACCAGCUCGAGACGCGGACCGGUGUCAUGGUAACUGAUUAAGCACCAUACACCACGAAGCACGCAACGAAAGCUGGU